UACGGAGGAUCCGAGCGUUAUCCGGAUUUAUUGGGUUUAAAGGGUGCGCAGGCGGGAAAUUAAGUCGGCGGUGAAAUUUUGCAGCUCAACUGUAAAAGUGCCUUCGAAACUGGUUUCCUUGAGUGUAGAUGAAGUAGGCGGAAUUUGUGGUGUAGCGGUGAAAUGCAUAGAUAUCACGAGGAACUCCGAUUGCGCAGGCAGCUUACUAAACUACUACUGACGCUCAGGCACGAAGGCGUGGGGAUCAAACAGGAUUAGAUACCCGUGUAGU
rnacentral:rRNA from 1 species